AGUGAAGCAAUGAGAAGUACUGCGAUAGGUGACAAAAGGCCCGACAGAAUCGGACCAUCAUGUAGAAUCUCAUUAGGCACAUAGGCAGCUCGAUCGCAACAUAUGUUGUCACCGACAAACUGGUAAUAGAUCUAUACCAAAACUCUUCACUAAAACUGUAAAAACUCUUAUAUGCAUAUUUUAAUUAAUUUAAUUUUAUUAUUUACUUAUUGUAGACAUGAUAGCUG
rnacentral:lncRNA from 1 species